GGAACCAGAAGGGUGAGGGAGAGUUGAAAGGCUGAGGAAAUUCUCCAGGCAAGGAAGCCUGAGAGAAACCCUGCUCAAAUAGGGAACAGAUGGAUAGAACUCAAGGACCAUCAUCCCAAGUUAGAGGGCUAAGCCACUGAAGACCCACCUGAAAAGAUUGACAGCCUUCAGGGGGCUCUCUCAGGAAUUAUAUUCUGCUUGGAGGGCAAAUAUAAAAGAACACAGCAGUACUUCCCCACUCAACUUAUUUAGCUUUGGAGAGAUCCUGUUACAAGUAAACUGCUGCUUCCAGUCAAACCAGCUGAAAUCAAAAUCCUCUGGUAGAUUACAUUUUGGC